GGGCAUUUGACGCAGGGGUAGCGUGCUUGCUUCGCACACUGAAAAUGUGAAGUUGCAUGAAGUCAAGGGUUCGAAUCCCUUGGUCUUCA